CGUCGCUCCCCUAGCUUUCGCGCCUCAGCGUCAGUGUCAGCCCAGCAACCCGCCUUCGCCGCAGGUGUUCCUCUCGAUAUCUACGCAUUUCACCGCUACACCGAGAAUUCCAGUUGCCCCUUCUGCACUCUAGCCCCGCAGUAUCGGUUGACCUUUCCGGGUUAAGCCCGGAGAUUUCACAACCGACUUGCGGUGGCCGCCUACGCGCCCUUUACGCCCAGUAAAUCCGAACAACGCUUGCUCCCCCCGUAUUACCGCGGCUGCUGGCACGGAGUUAGCCGGAGCUUACAAACGGUACCGUCAUCGUAAGAGAUAUUAACUCUUACUUAUUCUUCCCGUUCUUGCGAAGUUUACAUCCCGAGGGAUUUCAUCCUUCACGCGGCGUUGCUGGGUCAGGCUUUCGCCCAUUGCCCAAAAUUCCCGACUGCUGCCUCCCGUAGGAGUCUGACCCGUAUGUCAGUGUCAGUGUGGCCGACCGCCCUCUCAGGCCGGCUACGGAUCAUCGCCUUGGUAAGCCGUUACCUUACCAACUAGCUAAUCCGCCGCAGGCUCCUCUCUAGACGCGAGGUCUUUCGAUCCCCCGCUUUAACAACUGUCACCAUUAGGUGCCGCUGCAUUAUGCGGUAUUAGCCCCGAUUUCUUCG
rnacentral:rRNA from 1 species